GAAGCAGACCGUCUCAUCGCUUCAAUUUAUUUUGAAGAGGAAAGUCCGGACACCACAGGGAAGCGUAGCGGCUAACAGCCGUCAGCUCAUUUUAUGAGUUAGGACCAGUGCAACAGAAAGAAUGUACAGGUAAUGCUGUAGUGAAACCAGGUAAACUCUAUGCGGUGCAAUGCCAUGUAAACCUGUGCUUGAGAGUUCCCGCUCGAUACAGGAGGGUAGGCAGAUUCAACUUACUGGUAACAGUAUUUGUAGAUAAAUGAUGAGAAACGUUCGCGUUACAGGAUCCGGCUUAUAGGUCUGCUUUUUUU
rnacentral:RNase_P_RNA from 1 species